GCGGAUGUAGCUCAGUGGUAGAGCACCUGCUUCCCAAGCAGGGUGUCGCGGGUCCGACUCCCGUCAUCCGCUCCA
rnacentral:tRNA from 1 species